AACGUACGCUGGCGGCACGCCUAACACAUGCAAGUCGAACGAAGUAGCAAUACUUAGUGGCAGACGGGUGAGUAACAUGUAGGUAUCUGCCCUUUGGCCUGGAAUAACACGAGGAAACUUGUGCUAAUACCGGAUAAGUCUUUACGGAGAAAGCUUUAUGCACCAUUGGAUGAGCCUGCACUUGAUUAGUUUGUUGGUGGGGUAAUGGCCUACCAAGACUGUGAUCAAUAGCUGAUUUGAGAGGAUGAUCAGCCACAUUGGGACUGAGACACGGCCCAAACUCCUACGGGAGGCAGCAGUGGGGAAUCUUGCACAAUGGAGGAAACUCUGAUGCAGCGAUGCCGCGUGAGUGAAGAAGGCCCUUGGGUUGUAAAGCUCUUUCGUCGGGGAAGAAAAUGACUGUACCCGAAUAAGAAGGUCCGGCUAACUUCGUGCCAGCAGCCGCGGUAAUACGAAGGGACCUAGCGUAGUUCGGAAUUACUGGGCUUAAAGAGUUCGUAGGUGGUUGAAAAAGUUAGUGGUGAAAUCCCAGAGCUUAACUCUGGAACUGCCAUUAAAACUUUUCAGCUAGAGUAUGAUAGAGGAAAGCAGAAUUUCUAGUGUAGAGGUGAAAUUCGUAGAUAUUAGAAAGAAUACCAAUUGCGAAGGCAGCUUUCUGGAUCAUUACUGACACUGAGGAACGAAAGCAUGGGUAGCGAAGAGGAUUAGAUACCCUCGUAGUCCAUGCCGUAAACGAUGUGUGUUAGACGUUGGAAAUUUAUUUUCAGUGUCGCAGGGAAACCGAUAAACACACCGCCUGGGGAGUACGACCGCAAGGUUAAAACUCAAAUGAAUUGACGGGGACCCGCACAAGUAGUGGAGCAUGUGGUUUAAUUCGAAGAUACGCGCAGAACCUUACCAACACUUGACAUGUUCGUCGCGACUCUAAGAGAUUAGAGUCCUCGGUUCGGCCGGACGAAACACAGGUGCUGCAUGGCUGUCGUCAGCUCGUGUCGUGAGAUGUUGGGUUAAGUCCCGCAACGAGCGCAACCCUCACUUUUAGUUGCCAUCAUUAAGUUGGGCACUCUGAAAGAACUGCCAGUGAUAAGCUGGAGGAAGGUGGGGAUGACGUCAAGUCCUCAUGGCCCUUACGUGUUGGGCUACACACGUGCUACAAUGGUAUCUACAACAGGAAGCAAGACUGCGAAGUUAAGCAAAUCCCUAAAAGAUACCUCAGUUCGGAUUGCACUCUGCAACUCGAGUGCAUGAAGCUGGAAUUACUAGUAAUCGUGGAUCAGCGUGCCACGGUGAAUGCGUUCCCGGGUCU
rnacentral:rRNA from 1 species